rnacentral:lncRNA from 1 species
UCACCCUUUUUCUUUUACAGGAACAGAUGUCUCUGAGAGGGAGAAAUCCUAUGAUUGAUGGCCGCACCUGUACUUCCCACUCCCUGAAUUUCCUAACACAUUUACAAAAGGGUCCUCAUUCUUUGAAAACACACAAGUAUGAAGCAGAGACCAGAAUAGCCAGAUGCUUCACUGCCAUGCUCCUGCUUAUGAAUCAGACCACCUGCAAGUGCCCCAGUUGUGAACAUGGCAGUCUGGACUGUGGGAAGACCUACUCAAGAUAAAACUGUUCUGCACUUGUCUGUGGCAAGAAUGAAUUAUCUUUUAGUAGAACAUUUGUUCCACUUAAUCGACCUAAACAUAGACUAAAUGCUGCAUCUCUGAAAGAAGAAGAGGAAGAGGAGGAAGAAGAAGAGGAAGAGGAAGAAGAAGAAGAAGAAGAAGAAGAAGAAGAAGAACAACAACAACAACAACAACAACAACAACAACAACACUACUUCUUUCCUUUUUCCCAUACCAACAUUUUCAUAACUUUCAUUCACUGAAUCAGAAUAAAUGAACUGAGUGUCAAGCA